rnacentral:rRNA from 1 species
GUGCCAGCCGCCGCGGUAAUACCGGCAGCCCGAGUGAUGGCCGAUCUUAUUGGGCCUAAAGCGUCCGUAGCUGGCCAUGCAAGUCCAUCGGGAAAUCCGCGCGCUUAACGCGCGGGCGUCCGGUGGAAACUGCAUGGCUUGGGACCGGAAGACCAGAGGGGUACGUCCGGGGUAGGAGUGAAAUCCCGUAAUCCUGGACGGACCACCGGUGGCGAAAGCGCCUCUGGAAGACGGAUCCGACGGUGAGGGACGAAAGCUCGGGUCACGAACCGGAUUAGAUACCCCCGUAGUCC